rnacentral:rRNA from 1 species
GCGUAACACGUGAACAAUCUGCCUCCAAGUGGGGAAUAGCUCGCCGAAAGGCGAAUUAAUACCGCAUGUGGUCGGGACUCGCAUGAGUCUCGAACUAAAGUCGGGGACCGCAAGGCCCGACGCUGGGAGAGGAGUUCGCGGCCUAUCAGCUAGUUGGCGAGGUAACGGCUCAUCAAGGCUAAGACGGGUAGCUGGUCUGAGAGGAUGAUCAGCCACACUGGAACUGAGACACGGUCCAGACACC